CGGCGACGUCGACUCGAUUCGACACCCCUCUGCCCCGUCACAGGCCUCCACCACCGCGUGUGGGGCGAAGCAGCGCUUCACACGCGCGCUACAAAAAUGCCAGCACAGCCAUUUCAGAACGGCCUGCGCCUCAAACUCCGCCCACCGCCCCGCGCUGCGCAGGUCGCCUCACAGCCGCUUCCCUCACCAGUGGGCGGUGUGAGGGCCCGGGGCGAGACAGUCGUUCAAGUGCCGUGGGCACCCUGCCCAUCACGUGGAUGGGCACAGACCUGUUCACAGUCGCAGGUCGCCCCGACGCCACGCCGUCCAGGGCACGGCCACCCACAUCAGCAGGGAUGCAUCGCACUCGCCUCCCCCCCUACGUCGUAGGCACCUGACCCGGUCACCACCUCAAGUGGUUCGGCAUUUGGCAGGGAUAUAGGAGGGCUGCUUUGGCCUCCUCCACCCACACAGAGGGUGCGGGGCCGCUGGGCCCUGAGAUGCCACGCGCGGAGGUGUGUGUCCCUCCUCUGUCAUGAGGGGUGCUUGAUGACCCUACAGUGCAGGGAAUACACACAACCUCUCACUUCUCUUCCUUCACGACUUUCUGACGGAGCCCCCGUCAAGACCUCUUCGGCACUCUCCGUCUCCGAUACACGGAGAUGUGUUGUUGCCUUCUUCUAUUUUCGUUUGCCUCUGCCCUCAUUGCCAACAUCAUUUCUGCUCUUAUCCCCGGCACAUCGAAGACCUGUUCGGUGUGUCGGCCCCGCAUCCACGACGACAAGGUGGUGUAGCUGCCGUGCGGCCUCCUGUACGACUUCAGUCAUGCCAUUCGCCGGCUGCAACGCCGAGAUGGCCAUCGGCGCUGCGGGGCUGAUGCUCGGCAAGUGGCGAAGGAGCUUAGCAAGGAUACCAAAAAGGAGGCGCCAAGGGCUUCGAGGCGGUGAUGAAGUGAGCGGCGAGCACAGGCGUCGCACACGACGUCACACGUCUGCUCUUCUGCUUUGCAGGUCUCGCCUGCGUAUCACCGCAUGUACGUGUACAUGGUUGUUGGCGCGCGCGGAAGCGUGGCCCGUUCUCUUACUUAAAAAAAUGCCACUUCUCUACGCUCCUACCGUAUUCCUUCAUUGUCUUUCUCUCGCGUCUCGCUCCUCUUCACGGCCGUGGUGCGCGGCUGGCGGUGCGCUUCGCAUGCUUGACCAUAUGCUUCGCGUGUAUGUGAGGCACCUCCGCGGGCCAUGCCGCCUCCUUCCACCAAAAGAAAUGAAGAAAAAAUGGAUAAUAUACCCUCCUGCUCUUCGAAGGUUUCUUACCCACCCCCUCCCCGCCUGUGUUCUUUUCUUUGAAACGAGCUUGCUGCUUUUCCACUCCACAGCUCAAACCCUCCCCCUCCUAAGUGUGUGUGAGUGCGCGUCUUCCUUGUUUUCUGUCUCGCCACUGCACGGCGCGCUCAUCGGAAGGAGGCGUUUUCACGCCUGCGUGCGAAUGUGCUUCAUCCCAAAGUAAGGAUUGGCUUGUGGAGUGGCAGAGCGAGCGAGCAACGAAAUCUGAAAGGGACUCGACGAGGUGCGGGCCCCACGCAGGUGCACUCGUAUAUUGCGUGUGACAGUGGUGAACAUGGUACUGCGACCAGGCCCGCUUUUGACCCGCCUUGCGCUGAGGAGCCCAGUUGAAGUCGGAGUAACCGCCCCCCAAAUACCAGAGAUAUACGCUUGCCCAAGAUGGUUUUAGCAGGUGGGCUUGAGGGCAGUAAAAAGCACCUCCAGCUGCUGGUUUAAGAGCCACGACUCCUCUGUGUGCGCGGCCGACACGCCCAUUAUUGGC
rnacentral:misc_RNA from 1 species